GUAACAAGGUCUCCGUAGGUGAACCUGCGGAGGGAUCAUUACACAAUAAAAUACGAAGGCCGUUCGCGGCUGGACUAUUUAUUACCCUUGUCUUUUGCGCACUUGUUGUUUCCUGGGCGGGUUCGCUCGCCACCAGGACCACAAUAUAAACCUUUUUUAUGCAGUUGCAAUCAGCGUCAGUAUAACAAAUGUAAAUCAUUUACAACUUUCAACAACGGAUCUCUUGGUUCUGGCAUCGAUGAAGAACGCAGCGAAAUGCGAUACGUAGUGUGAAUUGCAGAAUUCAGUGAAUCAUCGAAUCUUUGAACGCACAUUGCGCCCUUUGGUAUUCCAAAGGGCAUGCCUGUUCGAGCGUCAUUUGUACCCUCAAGCUUUGCUUGGUGUUGGGCGUUUUUGUCUUUGGCCCGCCAAAGACUCGCCUUAAAAUGAUUGGCAGCCGGCCUACUGGUUUCGCAGCGCAGCACAUUUUUGCGCUUGCAAUCAGCAAAAGAGGACGGCAAUCCAUCAAGACUCCUUCACACGUAUGACGCUC
rnacentral:rRNA from 1 species